GACGAACGCUGGCGGCGUGCUUAACACAUGCAAGUCGAACGGAAAGGCCCUGCUUUUGUGGGGUGCUCGAGUGGCGAACGGGUGAGUAACACGUGAGUAACCUUCCCUUGACUUUGGGAUAACUUCAGGAAACUGGGGCUAAUACCGGAUAGGAGCUCCUGCUGCAUGGUGGGGGUUGGAAAGUUUCGGCGGUUGGGGAUGGACUCGCGGCUUAUCAGCUUGUUGGUGGGGUAGUGGCUUACCAAGGCUUUGACGGGUAGCCGGCCUGAGAGGGUGACCGGCCACAUUGGGACUGAGGUACGGCCCAGACUCCUACGGGAGGCAGAAGUGGGAAAUAUUGCACAAUGGGCGGAAGCCUGAUGCAGCAACGCCGCGUGCGGGAUGACGGCCUUCGGGUUGUAAACCGCUUUCACCUGUGACGAAGCGUGAGUGACGGUAAUGGGUAAAGAAGCACCGGCUAACUACGUG
rnacentral:rRNA from 1 species